rnacentral:rRNA from 1 species
ACCUGACGCAGCCAUGCCGCGUGAGUGAUGAAGGUCUUAGGAUUGUAAAGCUUUUUCGCCCGUGACGAUGAUGACGGUAACGGGAGAAGAAGCCCCGGCUAACUUCGUGCCAGCAGCCGCGGUAACACGAAGGGGGCUAGCGUUGUUCGGAAUUACUGGGCGUAAAGCGCGCGUAGGCGGCUUUGCAAGCCAGGGGUGAAAUGCCUGAGCUCAACUUGGGAAUUGCCUUUGGGACUGUGAGGCUUUGAGGACGGGAGAGGUGAGUGGAAUUCCCAGUGUAGAGGUGAAAUUCGUAGAUAUUGGGAAGAACACCGGUGGCGAAGGCGGCUCACUGGCCCGUUUCUGACGCUGCAGCGCGAAAGCGUGGGGAUCAAACAGGAUUAGAUACCCUGGUAGUCCACGCCGUAAACGAUGAGUGCUAGGCGUCGGCAGGCUUGCCUGUCGGUGCCGCAGCUAACGCGUGAAGCACUCCGCCUGGGGAGUACGGUCGCAAGAUUA